GAUGAACGCUGGCGGCGUGCUUAACACAUGCAAGUCGAACGGAAAGGCUCCUGCUUGCAGGGGUACUCGAGUGGCGAACGGGUGAGUAACACGUGGGUGAUCCGCCCUGCACUUCGGGAUAAGCCUGGGAAACUGGGUCUAAUACCGGAUAGGACCACAUUUUGGAUGGUGUGGUGGAAAGUUUUUCGGUGUGGGAUGAGCUCGCGGCCUAUCAGCUUGUUGGUGGGGUAAUGGCCUACCAAGGCGUCGACGGGUAGCCGGCCUGAGAGGGUGUACGGCCACAUUGGGACUGAGAUACGGCCCAGACUCCUACGGGAGGCAGCAGUGGGGAAUAGUGCACGAUGGGCGCAAGCCUGAUGCAGCGACGCCGCGUGGGGGAUGACGGCCUUCGGGUUGUAAACUCCUUUCGCUAGGGACGAAGCGCAAGUGACGGUACCUGGAGAAGAAGCACCGGCUAACUACGUG
rnacentral:rRNA from 1 species